UACGAAGGGGGCGAGCGUUGUUCGGAUUUACUGGGCGUAAAGGGCGCGCAGGCGGCCAUUCAAGUCAGGCGUGAAAGCCCCGGGCUUAACCUGGGAGGUGCGUCUGGGACUGGGUGGCUAGAGAUCGGGAGAGGAUGAGGGAAUUCCUGGUGUAGCGGUGAAAUGCGUAGAUAUCAGGAGGAACACCGGUGGCGAAAGCGCUCAUCUGGCCCAAUACUGACGCUGAGGCGCGAAAGCUAGGGGAGCAAACGGG
rnacentral:rRNA from 1 species